UUUAAUUUAGGCAUACAUGAUAAUGAUUUUAGAUUUUUGUGGAGGAUUAGACUAGAUCGCUCAUGUUGGCUCUAGGACCCCUUUAACCGGAAGGGAGCACAACCGCACCAGCCAGACCUCAGAUGUUUGGCCGUAAACACUCCAGAAAGAAAAAGAAAGAGAAAAAGAAGAUAAUCAGCCGGUUUUUGCUUUGUUGAUCUGUUGAGUGUGACUGGUGAAAGCAUACAUUGUACUUUGUGAAUGUAUCAAUUGGUAAACGAAUCCAGACAGACAGUUAAGACAGACAGUUACCUUAUUAAGGUGACGGCCUCACGGAGCACACGUUAAUAUUACUGAGACCAUAAGCAAAGUGAAGCGUAAGGCAAGUCUUUAAAAUACACCAUAUUACUACGAUGUCAACUUAACUCCAGCCUCUGUAAGACUCGUGUACCUUUAACUCUGUGGGCGCUGUUAAUCUACGUGUAAUCGGUCUUUUCAUUGUAUUGUUUCUAAUAAUGUGUUAUAGGUAAAGUGUGAGCUCUUCUUUCAGUUUAUGACUUUUAACGUGAUCCCUGGUCUUCUAAAUAUAAAUGGUUGCAUGGGUUUUGUAGGUUUAAACAGAGGUAUGUAGUAACAAGUGUAAAAUGUGCAGAGGUUAGUCUUACUUUUCUGAAUGGCCAAGGAGUAAAACCUAAGUAAACACUGAGCUACAGGUAAUUAGCUCAUUAAGCAUUACUAUUCUAUUAUAUUCUGCAAUGCUAAGGCAUGACACGGUGAAUAUAUUAUAAGUACAUGUGAGGUGGAACAAGAGUGCAAAUCUUAUCCCGUUAAAGAAGACCUACUUAAAGUGCAUUCUGUUUACAGCGUGGAUCAGCACAGUCAGUCCCUGAACACAGAGUACACGUCUGUGUUUGCGCCUCUACACACGAGCACAUCUACGUGCUUCAACAUGUGGGUACAUUAGGGCUCGGCUGUAUUUGCACAUGCGCAUAUGUGGGCUUAGCCCUCCUCUCUUAUUGCAGGGAUACGUACCCCACCCCCAUGAUGCAUCAUACCAGCCACUCAUGGCACAAAGACCCACACGCUGCAAGAGUGCCUCAUUUCCCUUAUUAAAAAAAUGCUCUAAGAUCUUAGAAAUGUCUCUCUGAGGAUUACCGUGUAAUACUGAUGAUGUCGGCAAUUUAUUUAAAUUAAUUGAUGUGAUGAAAUAAUUGACCUGAGAAAAUAUACGUCAAGGCACAUGAAAUUGUAAUUUUUAAAACGGCUUGUUUAACAAAAGUGAGAUUUAGAGAGACACACACUGGCUUUUUUUUCAAUGUGUGGGUUGUUCCAUACAUUUCACACUGAUUCCCUUUUCAUUUAUAAUUGAAGGGAGUCUCAUACUGUACAUUCUUUUCGUUGCAUUCCAUAUCACACUCAGCACUAUCACUGCUUCUGUUUGAAAUCUUUUCUCACUGGAGCUUGUGCUUUUUCUCUUUUCUUAUCCAGUGUUGUCUGUUCUUUUUAGUCAGACUUGUUAUUUUUAGAUGAAACAUAAUCGUCGGGAUCUUCAGUGCACUGUGAGAGUUUCACACCCCUUCCUAGUGUUUAAUCCAUAUGACAUCUCCUCUGUGCCUACUGGUUCCUUUGAGUUUCAACUUACAAGCCGUACAAUAUAAAUAAAGAUGAUGAGAAUAUUACAGUAAAAAAUCUCAGCCUAGUCAAUCAAAUAGACUCAUUGCUGAAUGUCAUGAUUCAUUUUUAAUGGCAGGGCUUUUUGUGUGUCGGUGCUGGAGAGCAUUAUACAUCGUUUCCUUCUUUUAUUAAUCAAACAACAUUUUGAAAUGUGUGUCACUGAUCUCAGCAGUAUACCUCCAAGCAGAGGAGGAAAAUAGAACAGAAAUUCAUGUCAGCUCCUCACCAGUAGGACUGAAAGUGGUUCAGAAUGUCAUUCUCUUUGGUGCAGCACCUCCUUCUCCAUUCUUUCUAAUCUGCACGAAUGCAAAUUACAAUGCAAAUGCAAAUACUACUGAAUAAUUUAUGUGUGGCAUAGUUGCUUUACAGAAACCGGGAGCUUUUUUGCCUAAAUAGAAUAAUGUGGCAUUCGGAGCACAUAUUUUGUUAACCACACAGAUAUAGGAUGAUAGACACAGACUUUAUCUGAAUUAUUUCAGUACAGUUCUCUUUGCACCAAUUGUUCACCAUAUUUCUGAGUGACGGACAAAGUCUGGACUCCAGGAAAACACAGACAUUUUCUUCUUUUAUUUGUUAAACAAUGACUUUAAUCUCAUAGCCAUUAUUUUCUUUGGUGUCGCUUCGCUCCAGUCUGAUGAAACAAUAAUAACAAAUGUCAUUUUUUGAAGUUACUGUCACUUAUGACCACAAGUUGAAUAAUUUUUUCCAGCAUUUAUUUAUUCCCCUGUUCAUUACAGCUGAUAUUUAAAUAACACCUACAUACUGUAUGUAAAUGUCAGUCCAAACCAUUGUUGACAUUAGAUCCCAUUCUCACAUACUACUGUGCUUUUGAGUCAAACACAGCCUUUCAAGGUCCUCGUUCGAUGCAUCAUUCUAAUUUCUGUAAAUUAAACUGAAGAGUGAAGCGUGGGCAGGGUUUCUUUGUCGUUUGUGUUGAGAAAAGGGAAAAAUACAUUUAUCACAACUAAUGGCAUUCAUACACACUUGAACACAUACGUUUAAGCUUUUUUUAUAGAAAAAAAAAAUCUUUCUGUUUUUUUUCCAACACGGGUGGUGUUCAUCUGUUUCCCUCAGUGGUUUUUCCAUCAAGGACUGUAAUUAAGCAACAGCAUUCAUGAGUGGGCAUGCUCAUUUAGCCUGCGUCUGGGCUUAGGCAGCUUUAGGAGGAUGGAACAAAUCCUGGUGGAACAAGGCAACGUAUGCCAUAGCCAUAGGUGAGAGCACCGCAGAGAGAAUAACAACUACUUCAGAAGUUGGUGUGUGUGCUGCUCCUUUUUUAUUUCUUAUUUUUUUGUUGCAAAAUGUUUUCUGCAACACAAACUUCCCACUAAAGGGUUUUGCUUUGCAAAGGAACAGGAAACAGUAAAUACUUAAAUUUUGUGGUUGUAUUUUAAUUCUCUUAAUUCUCUUACUCUGGAAUUUUUCCAAAUAUGAAGUUUGUAUUGCUACAAAAUAUGAAUAUGUUUCUAUUGCUUAUUGUUUAAAUUGAAUGACAUGUAAAAAAAACAACAUUAUUUUUAUUACUGGGAAUAAAUGUGAGUGUGUGUAGGUUAAUUAGACAAGCAAAGAGGUUAAUAAUUAGCAAAUAGGUCAACAUGGUUUAGAAAAAGAAAUACAUAUAUCAUAACAGUUUUACAUACUGUAUGUGCGUAUUUAAAUAUCAAAUAUAUUUGAUCCUGUGUAGUGUCAUUGAGUGGUAACAUCUAUAUAUGAAAACAUAAUUUUAAAAAGCAAAAAAAGAUUUAUUAAGAGCACCUGAUUCGUCUCCUAGUUUUUCCUCUGUGUCUCUGACUGAUCUACAUCAUAUGUGUUCUGUCAGGUACCUUUUUCAUAACAUGCUGCUUCAAAGGCCUUUCAAGAAUCUACGAGUAGAUCUGUGUUGGGUCAUGUGUUUAUCCACAAGGUCAAAUUAAUAAUAAUCGCACACGUUGAAAUGCAACAAAUGAUCUACGCAACAUAAAGCUUUGAGACAUGGCCUUGGAAUCAUACCUGCCGUUCCAGACACCCGUCUGUAAUCCUCAACAUUAGCCGAUAGUUUGUUAUCUCAGGAAUGUCGAUUGCUGAUUUUACUGUAUAUUGUUGCUUUUUAUCAUUGCUUCAGGAGAGAAUAUUAAUGCUCACUUCCUCUGUUUUGAUUCAUAUCAAAAUUAGGCUACAGUGUGUGUGUAUGCAGCAAAAGACACAAUGAGGAAUAAGGGCAGAGCUAGAGGAAGAGAGAGAGAGAGCGAGAGAGAGAGAGCGAGAGAGAAGCUCAUUAUAAUCAGGCAAUUAUGCUGGCAGAAUUAGAAGCGUCCUUAUUUUCUUUCGUGGCACCAUCGGUGUGGAGACGGCGUUUAAAGUGACUGCAGCCUAAGUCCAUGGAUAUGACUGACUAUCCUGUGGUAACGUGGAGCAUCUGUAUGACAACACGAUUUGGAAGUGAAAGCCUGUGAUUUUGGUUUUGUGGCAAAGCGGUUUUGGCUCAGCAGCAGUGAGUGACAGAUGAGGGCAGUUAUGCAGUUUUGCAUGCCUACAACUCAGGACCGUGGCUUAAACAGUGUGCCGCAAAGUGUGGCACAUGCCUUGCUGAGACAUUUGCUUCAAUUGGUAUAGUAGGUGCUGAUGUUGAUGUUUGCUGUUGAUGUCAAAAGCAAAGAUUGUGUGUGUGUGUGUGUGUGUGUGUGUGUGUGUGUGUGUGUGUGUGUGUGUGUGUGUGUGUGUGUGUGUGUGUGUGUGUGUGUGUGUGUAUGCGUGUGUGAGCGUCACGCUUUAAAAUGACAAACUGUAAUACGUUUUAACCUUCAGAGUAAAUUAGUACCUUGAAAGCACUGAAACAUUUAUUGGUAAAGAAAAAAAAAACAUUGUACUGCAUUAAUACUGCAUUAAUACAUAGUGUGAAAUUGAUUGUUGCUGAUUAUUCAUAAACAACAUGUCUUGAAAAUAAAUAAAAGUUCCACUUGCUUUA